rnacentral:tRNA from 1 species
UGUUCUUUGGCAUAGUGGUUUGCAUGCUGGACUACAACUCUGGAGACCAGGGUUCGAUUCCCAGCUCAGCCA